rnacentral:rRNA from 1 species
GACAGAGGCCUCGAGCGUUAGGCGGAAUCACUGGGCUUAAAGCGUGUGUAGGCGGGCCCGUAAGUGUCUUGUGAAAUCCCACGGCUCAACCGUGGAACUGCUGGGCAUACUGCGGGUCUUGGGCCAACUAGGGGCAGCCGGAACAAGCGGUGGAGCGGUGAAAUGCGUAGAUAUCGCUUGGAACGCCAAUGGUGAAAACAGACAGCUGGGAGUGUGCUGACGCUGAGACACGAAAGCCAGGGGAGCGAACGGG